rnacentral:rRNA from 1 species
GACGAACGCUGGCGGCGUGCUUAACACAUGCAAGUCGAACGGUGAAGGUGGAGCGUGCUCCGCCGGAUCAGCGGCGGACGGGUGAGUAACACGUGGGUAACCUGCCCAUAAGACUGGGAUAACUCCGGGAAACCGGGGCUAAACCCGGAUAACAUUUUGAACCGAAAGGUUCGAAAUUGAAAGGCGGCGUCGGCUGUUACUUAUGGAUUGACCCGCGUCGCAUUAGCUAGGCGGUGAGGUAACGGCGCACCAAGGCAACGAUGCGUAGCCGACCUGAGAGGGUGAUCGGCCAAACUGGGACUGAGACACGGCCCAGACUCCUACGGGAGGCGGCAGUAGGGAAUCUUCCGCAAUGGACGAAAGUCUGACGGAGCAACGCCGCGUGAGUGAUGAAGGCUUUCGGGUCGUAAAACUCUGUUGUUAGGGAAGAACAAGUGCUAGUUGAAUAAGCUGGCACCUUGACGGUACCUAACCAGAAAGCCACGGCUAACUACGUGCCAGCCGCCGCCGUAA